rnacentral:rRNA from 1 species
GAUCCUGGCUCAGGACGAACGCUGGCGGCGCGCCUAACACAUGCAAGUCGAACGAGAGAUGAGGAGCUUGCUCUUCAAAUCGAGUGGCGGACGGGUGAGUAACGCGUGGAUAACCUGCCUCACACAGGGGGAUAACAGUUGGAAACGACUGCUAAUACCGCAUAAGCCCACGGGUCGGCAUCGAUCUGAGGGAAAAGGAGCAAUCCGCUUUGAGAUGGCCUCGCGUCCGAUUAG